rnacentral:lncRNA from 1 species
CUGCUAUAUUUCCACAUUGCUGUAGGGGCUAAGCUUGCAAUCAAGACUGGCAGUUUGCAGGUGUAGAGAGUGUUUUGUUUGACUUGAACGGUGCAAUUUACUUAUUUAUUUUAGUUUAAAUGCCUUUAGAUGGAGCAAGCACUUGGCAGUUAAUCAUAGUCUUGCACCUAACUGUUGCUUUGCUUGCAGUUUACAUGAGGAGAAGAGACUCACCUAUACAAAAGCGUUGUGUCCCUUCAAUCCAAGCGAUGUUGAAGUCCAAAGAGGUGAACAAUGGAAUGACAUCAGCCGUGAGUCAGCGGGGAGUGCCUGAGGAUGGAGGCUCUAUGGCUCCCUGGAGAUCUCUUAGUGUGUCCACAUGCCGGGUGGGUCCACGGACGGGAGCUCUUCUGGUGCUUCCCUCACUCCCCACCCGACCCAUGCAGUACCCACCCUCCGCAGCUGGGCCUUCCAGCUGGCUCAGCUCAGCCCUGUUUUACGUUUAGCCGGUCUUUGAUCUUCACUCUUCAACUAAAGCCAGAGCCAGGUGAAACCUGAUUUUACCCUUUUCUCAAAUGUGAACUAAGCUCAAAAGAAAUAGAAGGCCAAUUUGGACCCACAUCUGAACUCACAUCUGAAAUAGGAACUUGAGUGGAUUUUCCUGUUGAUCUAGAAUUGGUCACUGGGGCUGAAACUGAGGACAAAGAGAUGGUGAGUCCUGUGCAAACUGGAGGGAACUGCCAGCACUUGAGUGCAGCACUAGCCUUGCUGCCACCAGCUCUGCCCCCAGGCCCCUCCCAGUGUGUAUAUGAGAAGGGAUUGAAGGGGAGAGAAAGUGUGAGCUAAAGUCGUUGCAGCAUGGGGUUCAUUACAAGAGGUGAACCUCUCACCCUUCCAUUCACCGCUAAUCCCCCAAGUCAAGGGAGGGGCUCAAGAGAAUUGAGGGUGCCUAUAACUAGAAGAAGAAGCUCAUAGUCUCACUUGUGAAUUAAAUGUCUGCUUAGAUCACCAACCUUCUGAUCUGGCCCUAUGCUUGGAAGAGCAGGAGGAGAGACAAGGAGGGAGAGAGGACAGCAUGAACACAGGGUGACCAGAGACCAGCCUGUGUGUCUGCAUUUUAGUGUUUUAAGAGGACACGAGUUUUCCACGGGUCCAGUGGACAAUGUGGAAGGUGGGUGGGCUUGAGAUGCCCUGCCUGUUUUGGCACCUGCUAUUGUGUGGGUGGUGGGCCCCAGCAGCAGGAGACUGCAGUGUGCCAAGGUACAUGGAGAGGUAAGAGCUG